UAGUAACACUCCCGUUAUGACAAAAUCCUGCUACCGACGUAGCAGCCACGCUAACAGAGACGUGUGUACAGUGCACAUUAGAGGGGCGUGGCUUCGGUCAGAGACGAGCAGAGGAGGGGGCGGUGCUUCGUGAAGUGAGGCGACUUUCAAACCUCGCGGCCACUUUUGAAAGUGCAAACUCGCCCUCGAAGUUGGAGACGAGCUGUGGAACUUGGUAAAGUCUAUUCAGGCCCAACCAGAUCAUGUCGAUCUCGCACUGUGUUCAAAUGUAUAUCACGGUUAACGUAUUCCUGAUUAUUGAUCUGUGGGCGGGAGAUGGGUACAUCCUGGACAGCUUGCCAGUCAAUUGCAGGGCACGUGGAAACAAACACACAUUCACACUCACACCUGCGAAUGAGAUUUCAUUUGUCACUGCUGAGGCAAAAGUGCACCUGAGUCACUCGUGCGGCAUUUGCAUUCAUUGGAAGAGGGCAAAUCAAAUCAAAGUUGACUUCAACUGAACAUCGGCAGAUGCUGGAGGAGAGCCAGUGAUAAUCCCACAUGACGACAAUGAGGAUGAUGAUGAUGAUUUGUUGUCGGGUUUUGAGCAAGCCAAACGAUUUUCCUGAUUUUCUGAUGUGACGCGGGUUCACCCAGCGGGCACUCAAAAGAAUGAUUUUGGAUGUAUGUCGGCGCUGUGGCCAGACAAGGUAUCAGCAGGUGAAUCUGCUUGAUAGAGAUGAGUGAUCUGUGAUUGCUUUUCUCCUCCACUACAAUCUUCCGGCAUCCGAUUAAUCGUCCCAGGGCGCAGCCACUGGCAAAGACUUGAUGUUCCAGCUCUGCCCGUCUGCUUGGCUUUGGCAUGCACGCAUCUUGUUAGACUAAACGUUUUGGAAUAUUACUGAAGGAUUAAAUCCAAGAAGAUGAUCAUACAGUACUGUGAGGUUGAACUGUAUGCCACCGCUAGAUGGCAACAUCGGGACCGGGUGAAACGCAAAACAGCCCGUGACAUCUUCAAGGCCGGCUUUGGUCAAAGUGUCGCCGAAUGUCGCCGAAUGUCCCGCUGACCCUGCCCACCUCAGCGUAGACGAACUCAGGCCUAGGAACUCCCCGAAGGGUUUUUAUCCCUUUCUCUCGAGCGUGGGAUCACGACUGAGGAACGAUGCAGUCAAGUGGGAAAGACAUACCCAGCCCACAAUCCACGCGCCGGUCGACCUUGUGCGAGUUAGGAGCUGACCAGACGGUCCAGGCGGUCUCCCUCUUCUUGGAUUCCAGCCACCGAGGGCGUCCUCAAACUCUGCAAGCUCCUAAGGUCAACAGUCGAGCCUGCCUGCGUACGCGCACACGUGCUCAAGGGAAACAAAUGGAAAUAUUCUGGAUGUUAUUUUGUCGCAAAUAGAUUCCUGAAACCGAAAGACUGCUUUCAACUGAAAACAGAUCAAACAAGAGUCAUUAUGGCCGUUCAUCUCCAGGACAAAAAGCAUUUUGAAGUCGCAAGAUGUCUCCAAGUAAACAUUUUUGGUAAUGGCUUUAUAAUUUCCUCCAAAACAUGAGGAACUCCAAAUACAUGAUAAUAAUGUUGUUUGUUGAAUUAUGUGUUCAGCAUUUGGAAUACAUGAUACCAUGUUGACCUCAUGACAAAUAUGCACAAUUUAGAGACAAUCGCAUAUGAAUGUUCCAUAAAAAAAAGUCCAAACUAACGAAGAUGAAACUGUUCCAAAGUCAAUGUUCUUUUAUGUGUUUCGAAAGUCUAACUAGGAUUUGAACCUUUUCAAAGUCUCAGACCGACUAAUAGAUUUCACCACAAGGGGGCGUUUCGAAGUCAUGUUUGCAAAACGAUGUCACGUUUGAGACUACUCAGAAUGGCACACGACCAGAGAGAGCCAAUCACAAGCGUUGGUUUUUAGAAGGAGGAAGUGAUAUGAAAAAAUAAAAUCCUGGCUAUUUUUGAAAUGUUACUAAAAUUGGCUUCCGAGCCAAAAUCUUUCUGCUUACGCCUAUCGGAGGCGGCAGCAUCACUCAUACACUCUACACUCAAGUAGAAGUACACAUGAUAAAAAAACAAUGACUGAUUCUAAUGCUGUACUUAAGUCAAAAUGUACAGACUUAAAUGUACUUAAUUACAAAAGUAAAUGAG